rnacentral:tRNA from 1 species
UAACUGUUUUUGUAGUUGUAUCACGGUGGUUUAAAUCACACAAUCUUGCGGAAGCCGAGGCAAGAAUC